GACGAACGCUGGCGGCGUGCUUAACACAUGCAAGUCGAACGGUGAAGCUCCAGCUUGCUGGAGUGGAUCAGUGGCGAACGGGUGAGUAACACGUGAGCAACCUGCCCCUGACUCUGGAAUAAGCGCUGGAAACGGCGUCUAAUACUGGAUACGAGAAGGGUCCGCAUGGGCACUUUCUGGAAAGUUUUUCGGUUGGGGAUGGGCUCGCGGCCUAUCAGCUUGUUGGUGAGGUAAUGGCUCACCAAGGCGACGACGGGUAGCCGGCCCGAGAGGGCGACCGGCCACACUGGGACUGAGACACGGCCCAGACUCCUACGGGAGGCAGCAGUGGGGAAUAUUGCACAAUGGGCGAAAGCCUGAUGCAGCGACGCCGCGUGAGGGAUGACGGCCUUCGGGUUGUAAACCUCUAUCAGCAGGGAAGAAGCGAAAGUGACGGUACCUGCAGAAGAAGCACCGGCUAACUACGUG
rnacentral:rRNA from 1 species